UGGGGAAUUUUGGACAAUGGGCGCAAGCCUGAUCCAGCCAUGCCGCGUGAGUGAAGAAGGCCUUCGGGUUGUAAAGCUCUUUCAGCCGGAAAGAAAUCGUGCAGAUUAAUACUCUGUAUGGAUGACGGUACCGGAAGAAGAAGCACCGGCUAACUACGUGCCAGCAGCCGCGGUAAUACGUAGGGUGCGAGCGUUAAUCGGAAUUACUGGGCGUAAAGCGUGCGCAGGCGGUUUUGUAAGACAGACGUGAAAUCCCCGGGCUUAACCUGGGAACUGCGUUUGUGACUGCAAGGCUAGAGUACGGCAGAGGGGGGUAGAAUUCCACGUGUAGCAGUGAAAUGCGUAGAUAUGUGGAGGAAUACCGAUGGCGAAGGCAGCCCCCUGGGUCGAUACUGACGCUCAUGCACGAAAGCGUGGGGAGCAAACAGGAUUAGAUACCCUGGUAGUCCACGCCCUAAACGAUGUCAACUAGGUGUUGGGGGAGGAGACUUCCUUAGUACCGCAGCUAACGCGUGAAGUUGACCGCCUGGGGAGUACGCGAC
rnacentral:rRNA from 1 species